GACGAACGCUGGCGGCGUGCUUAACACAUGCAAGUCGAACGAUGAAGCUGGAGCUUGCUCCGGUGGAUUAGUGGCGAACGGGUGAGUAACACGUGAGCAAUCUGCCCUUGACUCUGGGAUAACUGCGGGAAACUGUAGCUAAUACCGGAUACGAGGCUCGAAGGCAUCUUCGGGUCUGGAACGAAUUUCGGUCAAGGAUGAGCUCGCGGCCUAUCAGCUUGUUGGUGAGGUAAUGGCUCACCAAGGCGACGACGGGUGGCCGGCCUGAGAGGGUGACCGGCCACACUGGGACUGAGACACGGCCAAGACUCCUACGGGAGGCAGCAGUGGGGAAUUUUCCGCAAUGGGCGAAAGCCUGACGGAGCAAUGCUGCGUGAAGGCAGAAGGCCCACGGGUCAUGAAUUUCUUUUCUCGGAGAAGAAAAAAUGACGGUAUCUGAGGAAUAAGCAUCGGCUAACUCUGUGCCAGCCGCCGCCGUAA
rnacentral:rRNA from 1 species